rnacentral:lncRNA from 1 species
UUCAGCUGAAAGAUGUACAAGUGCAAUUUCAAACAAAGAGAACCAGACUCCGAAGUCACAAAGGGCGCAUAAUUUGAAGGCUAGUUUUAGUCCCAUCAUCUAUUCAGCUGAAAGAAGUGCAAGUGCAAUUUCAAACAAAGAGAACCUGACUCCAAGAGAAGCACGUGAAUGGAAGUCACAAAGAUCACAUAACUUGAGGGCUAGUUUUAGUCCCAUCAUCUAUUCAGCUGAAAGAAGUGCAAGUGCAAUUUCAAACAAAGAGAACCUGACUCCAAAAGAAGCACUAGAAUGGAUGUCAGGUAGAAAUCCUCUUGAGUGUCGCAAUACUAUGGAAUUAAGAAAGAAGAGAGUGGAACGGAUGCCCUUACAAUCACUAAUCAGUUCUGGAGGCAAUCACAAUUCGAAUUCU